rnacentral:rRNA from 1 species
CCUACGUGUGGCAGCAGUGAGGAAUAUUGGUCAAUGGGCUUACGCCUGAACCAGCCAAGUCGCGUGAGGGAAGACUGCCCUAUGGGUUGUAAACCUCUUUUGUCAGGGAGCAACGCCGGCUACGUGUAGCCGGACUGAGAGUACCUGCAGAAAAAGCAUAGGCUAACUCCGUGCCAGCCGCCGCGGUAAUACGGAGAAUGCGAGCGUUAUCCGGAUUUAGUGGGUUUAAAGGGUGCGUAGGCGGAAGGCCAAGUCAGCGGUAAAAUCGCGGGGCUCAACCUCGCUCCGCCGUUGAAACUGGCGUUGUUGAGUGGGCGAGAAGGAUGCGGAAGGCGUGGUGUAGCGGUGAAAUGCAUAGAUAUCACGCAGAACUCCGAUUGCGAAGGCAGCAUACCGGCGCCCAACUGACGCUGAAGCACGAAAGCGUGGGUAUCGAACAGGAUUAGAUACCCUUGUAGUC